GAUGAACGCUGGCGGCGUGCCUAAUACAUGCAAGUCGAGCGAACAGAUGAGGAGCUUGCUCCUCUGACGUUAGCGGCGGACGGGUGAGUAACACGUGGAUAACCUACCUAUAAGACUGGGAUAACUUCGGGAAACCGGAGCUAAUACCGGAUAAUAUAUUGAACCGCAUGGUUCAAUAGUGAAAGACGGUUUUGCUGUCACUUAUAGAUGGAUCCGCGCCGCAUUAGCUAGUUGGUAAGGUAACGGCUUACCAAGGCAACGAUGCGUAGCCGACCUGAGAGGGGGAUCGGCCACACGGGAACGGAGACACGGUCCAGACUCCUACGGGAGGCAGCAGUAGGGAAUCUGCCGCAAUGGGCGAAAGCUUGACGGAGCAACGCCGCGUGAGUGAUGAAGGUCUUCGGAUCGUAAAACUCUGUUAUGAGGGAAGAACAAAUGUGUAAGUAACUAUGCACGUCUUGACGGUACCUAAUCAGAAAGCCACGGCUAACUACGUG
rnacentral:rRNA from 1 species